GGUGCGCACCACCGAAGACAUGCUUGGUCUCGUGCCCAAUCCGCUGCGUGAAGCAGCAUCUGCACUCGGUCUUCCGCGUUCGCUCGUCAUCAAGCGUAUCGCUUAUCGCGCUGCGCGCGCCGGCCUCAUCACCGGCGUCCUGCUGGCGACGGCACGCGUCGCUGGCGAAACCGCCCCGCUGCUGUUCACCGCGCUGAGCAACCAGUUCUUCAGUCUCGAUCUGACCAAGACGAUGGCGAACCUGCCGGUCACCAUCAACAACUUCGUCCAAAGCCCCUACGACUACUGGAAACAGCUCGCAUGGACCGGGGCUUUGCUUAUCACCUUGACCGUACUUGCCCUUAACAUUGGCGCGCGCAUUCUCGGCGCCGAGAGGACAUCGAAAUGAACGAGCAGCUUUCUGUCAGC
rnacentral:misc_RNA from 1 species